rnacentral:rRNA from 1 species
CCUACGGGAGGCAGCAGUGGGGAAUAUUGGUCAAUGGACGAGAGUCUGAACCAGCCAAGUAGCGUGAAGGAUGACUGCCCUAUGGGUUGUAAACUUCUUUUAUAUGGGAGUAAACUAUUCCACGUGUGGGAUUAUGUAUGUACAAUAUGGAUAAAGAUCGGCUAACUCCGUGCCAGCAGCCGCGGUAAUACGGAGGAUCCGAGCGUUAUCCGGAUUUAUUGGGUUUAAAGGGAGCGUAGGCGGCUUGUGAAGUCAGUUGUGAAAGUUUGCGGCUCAACCGUAACAUUGCAGUGGAAACUGGCCGUCUAGAGUGCAGUAGAGGUGAGUGGAAUUCGUGGUGUAGCGGUGAAAUGCUUAGAUAUCACGAAGAACUCCGAUGGCGAAGGCAGCUCACUGGACUGCAACGGACACUGAGGCUCGAAAGUGUGGGUAGCAAACAGGAUUAGAUACCCGAGUAGUC